rnacentral:rRNA from 1 species
AGUGAACGCUGGCGGUAGGCCUAACACAUGCAAGUCGAACGGCAGCACAGUAAGAGCUUGCUCUUACGGGUGGCGAGUGGCGGACGGGUGAGGAAUACAUCGGAAUCUACUUUUUCGUGGGGGAUAACGUAGGGAAACUUACGCUAAUACCGCAUACGACCUACGGGUGAAAUCAGGGGAUCUUCGGACCUUGCGCGAUUGAAUGAGCCGAUGUCGGAUUAGCUAGUUGGCGGGGUAAAGGCCCACCAAGGCGACGAUCCGUAGCUGGGCUGAGAGGAUGAUCAGCCACACUGGAACUGAGACACGGUCCAGACUCCUACGGGAGGCAGCAGUGGGGAAUAUUGGACAAUGGGGGCAAGCCUGAUCCAGCCAUACCGCGUGGGGGAAGAAGGCCUUCGGGUUGUAAAGCCCUUUUGUUGGGAAAGAAAAGCAGCAGGUUAAUACCCCGCUGUUCUGACGGUACCCAAAGAAUAAGCACCGGCUAACUUCGUG